rnacentral:tRNA from 2 species
CGGGGUGUAGCUCAGCCUGGUAGAGCACCGUCUUCGGGAGGCGGGGGUCGUAGGUUCGAAUCCUGUCACCCCGACCA